AAGAAGAAGUCGUAACAAGGUUUCCGUAGGUGAACCUGCGGAAGGAUCAUUAGCGUAUGGUGGUUGUUGCCACCGGGAUACUUUGCAAACUGUGGAUUGGUUGAAUGUGAUUCUCGGCGCGUGCUUUUCGGCGCGUGCUGUGUAAUUUUGAUAAGAAGGAACGCAAGUUGGAUUUAUUUACAUUUUAUGUUAAACAAAAAACAACUCUUAGCAAUGGAUAUCUUGGCUCCCACAA
rnacentral:misc_RNA from 1 species